rnacentral:rRNA from 1 species
CGGUUAGAACGCUCGUAGUCGAAUGUUUGUUCAAGCCUAGCGGUCCUCCCUAGUGGUGCGUACUCAGUUCGGUCUGAGCACCUCUCUGAUACUCGCGUUUACAGUUCAUUCUGUGGCGCGUUGUUCAGAACUUUUACUUUGAGGAAAUGAGAGUGCUUCAAGCAAAUGUGUGUUAUGAAUACGUUAGCAUGGAAUAAUCGCAUGGGACAUCCUUCUGAAUUUGUUGGUUUUUGGGUAGAUGUAAUGAAGGUGGGGAUAGUUGGGGGCAUUCGUAUUUAACUGUUAGAGGUGAAAUUCUUGGAUUUUUUAAAGAUGGACUACUGCGAAAGCAUCUGCCAAAGAUGUUUUUGUCGAUCAAGAACGAAAGUUAGGGGAUCGAAGACGAUCAGAUACCGUCCUAGUCUUAACCUUAAACUAUGCCCACUAGGGAUUGGGGUCAUCAGACUCUUGAUGUCUUCAGCAUCUUCAGAGAAAUCAAAGUUUUUGGGUUCCGGGGGGAGUAUGGUCACAAGGCUGAAACUUAAAGGAAUUGACGGAAGGGCACCACCAGGAGUGGAGCCUGCGGCUUAAUUUGACUCAACACGGGAUAACUCACCAGGUCCAGACUUAGAAAGGAUUGACAGACUGAUAGCUCU